CCGAACCGUCAACACGAGUUGUUGCUGGCCCCUCUGACGGGGGGCAUGUGCACGCUCUGUUUACACAUCCACUCACACCUGUGCACCCUCUGUGGUUCUAUGGCUCGAGGGGCCUUGUCCCUUAGCCGUGGUUCUACGUUUUUAUAUGCACCCUGUAGUAAAGUCUUAUGGAAUGUGUGCCGCGUUUAACGCAAUGAAAUA
rnacentral:misc_RNA from 1 species